rnacentral:rRNA from 1 species
GACGAACGCUGGCGGCGUGCUUAACACAUGCAAGUCGAGCGGUAAGGCCCUUUCGGGGGUACACGAGCGGCGAACGGGUGAGUAACACGUGGGUGACCUGCCCUCAGCUCUGGGAUAAGCCUGGGAAACCGGGUCUAAUACUGGAUAUGACUCCAUGACGCAUGUUGUGGGGUGGAAAGCCUUGUGCGGCUGAGGAUGGGCCCGCGGCCUAUCAGCUUGUUGGUGGGGUGAUGGCCUACCAAGGCGACGACGGGCAGCCGGCCUGAGAGGGCGACCGGCCACACUGGGACUGAGACACGGCCCAGACUCCUACGGGAGGCAGCAGUGGGGAAUCUUGCGCAAUGGGCGAAAGCCUGACGCAGCGACGCCGCGUGAGGGAUGACGGCCU